rnacentral:rRNA from 1 species
GCCAGUUCAUGCUUUUACAGUAUGAAAAUUGGUGAUUUAUAAUAACUUAGCAAAUCGCAAAGUGAAAACAGGCGAUAAAUCAUUCAAGUUUCUGACCUAUCAGCUUUCGACGGUAUGGUAUUGGCUUACCGUGGCAGUGACGGUUAACGGGGGAUUAGGGUUCGAUUCCGGAGAGGGAGCCUGAGAAACGGCUACCACAUCUAAGGAAGGCAGCAGGCGCGCAAAUUACCCAAUUCUAACAGUUUGAGAGAGGUAGUAACAAGAAAUAACAAUACAAGGCAGUUAAAAUGCUUUGUAAUUGGAAUGAUAGAAAUUUAAACCCUUUUUAAAGUAUCAAUUGGAGGGCAAGUCUGGUGCCAGCAGCCGCGGUAAUUCCAGCUCCAAUAGCGUAUAUUAAAAUUGUUGCAGUUAAAAAGCUCGUAGUUGAAGUUCUGCUGAAAGUAACCGGUCUGCUUUUAAUAAAAGUGGUAUCUUGGUAUGUAUUUAGCAAUGAUGUCCUUUGAAGUGUUUUUUACUUUAUUGUAAUAAAGCAUAUUCAGGACUUUUACUUUGAGAAAAUUAGAGUGUUUCUAGCAGGCUGACGCUUUGAAUACUGCAGCAUG